AGAGUUUGAUCCUGGCUCAGAUUGAACGCUGGCGGCAUGCCUUACACAUGCAAGUCGAACGGCAGCACGGGAGCUUGCUCCUGGUGGCGAGUGGCGAACGGGUGAGUAAUAUAUCGGAACGUACCCUAGAGUGGGGGAUAACGUAGCGAAAGUUACGCUAAUACCGCAUACGAUCUACGGAUGAAAGUGGGGGAUCGCAAGACCUCAUGCUCAUGGAGCGGCCGAUAUCUGAUUAGCUAGUUGGUGGGGUAAAAGCUCACCAAGGCGACGAUCAGUAGCUGGUCUGAGAGGACGACCAGCCACACUGGAACUGAGACACGGUCCAGACUCCUACGGGAGGCAGCAGUGGGGAAUUUUGGACAAUGGGCGCAAGCCUGAUCCAGCAAUGCCGCGUGAGUGAGGAAGGCCUUCGGGUUGUAAAGCUCUUUUGUCAGGGAAGAAACGGUUCGGGCUAAUAUCCUGGGCUAAUGACGGUACCUGAAGAAUAAGCACCGGCUAACUACGUGCCAGCAGCCGCGGUAAUACGUAGGGUGCAAGCGUUAAUCGGAAUUACUGGGCGUAAAGCGUGCGCAGGCGGUUGUGCAAGACAGAUGUGAAAUCCCCGGGCUCAACCUGGGAAUUGCAUUUGUGACUGCACGGCUAGAGUGUGUCAGAGGGGGGUAGAAUUCCACGUGUAGCAGUGAAAUGCGUAGAGAUGUGGAGGAAUACCGAUGGCGAAGGCAGCCCCCUGGGAUAACACUGACGCUCAUGCACGAAAGCGUGGGGAGCAAACAGGAUUAGAUACCCUGGUAGUCCACGCCCUAAACGAUGUCUACUAGUUGUCGGGUCUUAAUUGACUUGGUAACGCAGCUAACGCGUGAAGUAGACCGCCUGGGGAGUACGGUCGCAAGAUUAAAACUCAAAGGAAUUGACGGGGACCCGCACAAGCGGUGGAUGAUGUGGAUUAAUUCGAUGCAACGCGAAAAACCUUACCUACCCUUGACAUGUCUGGAAUCCUUGAGAGAUCAGGGAGUGCUCGAAAGAGAAUCAGAACACAGGUGCUGCAUGGCUGUCGUCAGCUCGUGUCGUGAGAUGUUGGGUUAAGUCCCGCAACGAGCGCAACCCUUGUCAUUAGUUGCUACGAAAGGGCACUCUAAUGAGACUGCCGGUGACAAACCGGAGGAAGGUGGGGAUGACGUCAAGUCCUCAUGGCCCUUAUGGGUAGGGCUUCACACGUCAUACAAUGGUACAUACAGAGGGCCGCCAACCCGCGAGGGGGAGCUAAUCCCAGAAAGUGUAUCGUAGUCCGGAUUGUAGUCUGCAACUCGACUACAUGAAGUUGGAAUCGCUAGUAAUCGCGGAUCAGCAUGUCGCGGUGAAUACGUUCCCGGGUCUUGUACACACCGCCCGUCACACCAUGGGAGCGGGUUUCACCAGAAGUGGGUAGCCUAACCGCAAGGAGGGCGCUCACCA
rnacentral:rRNA from 1 species